AGACAAACCACGGGGCUGGCUGAUAAUUAUUCAUGAGCGUUCCGCCAUGAUGUUCCUUGAAUGACAUCCGCGCUUGUUAGAAGCGAUCAGUUAUCAGUUGUGUCCAAUAACUGGCAACUUGACCCGCAGUACCUCGCGACCACUGGAGUCGUCCUAACUCGCCGAGCCUCACAGAGACAUGUGAGGGCAUUAAACAGACUAAAUGAUCGUCGUUACAAUUAAGCGGAAGUCCACGAUGAACGAGGAGGAUGGCUACCGGAAGUGGGUCGUCGUCAUGGCCGCCUUCUUUACACAGUUCAUAGUGUGCGGUAUCACGUACAGUCUCGGCGUCUUCCACGUCAUCUUCAGGGACAUCUUCCAGAAGAACCACUUCGACACGUCAUGGGUUGGGUCGGUGCUGCUAUACGUCACCGCUCUCUCCAGUGUUAUGCUACGGUUUGUAGCGAGUAUGUGGGGGUGCCGUGUCAGCGUCAUGGCCGGGGGGCUUCUGGCGGCUACAGGGCUGUCGUUAGGACUCUUCGUCAAUGAACUGUAUCAAGUGUAUCUCACUUUCGGACUGCUCACAGGUAUUGGCUUCGGACUGGCGUGCUCUCCAUCUAUAGUUGCUGUAGAGCGUUACUUCAUCCAUGGGCGAUUCCAGGCGUUGAGCGUCGUGGUCGGUGGGGUGGGGGCAGGCAUCAUCACCUUCCCCAUCAUCAUCAGACACAUGCUGGACAUGUUUGCGUGGAGGGGAACUCUCCUCCUCCUGGGCGGGGUGUCGCUCAACCUGUGCGUGUGUGGUGCCCUGCUCAAGCCUCUACCUGGGAAGAAGGAGGUGCGCCUCCUGCCCCUCCUGUCGUGCCUCCCCCUCCGACACCCUCUGUUUCAUGGCAUGUGCAUCGCCAACCUCUUCUGGAGCUUCGGCUCCACCAUCAUCUACAUGUAUUUGCCAUCCUAUGCAAUAUCGCAAGGAACGGAUUUCGAGAGCUCCACGUUCCUCGUGGCUUGUGUCGGCAUGGCUAGCUUCACCAGCAGGAUGAUAUUCGCAUUUAUGGGCCACAACAGCACGCUUGAUGACGUGACGUCGGUGUUGUGCCCCGUAGGACUAGGCGUGGUUGUCACCGGCAUCUGCCCACUAUUGUUCAAAGACUUCACGGGUCAGAUCGGGUACACGUUACUAUUCGGCUUCUACAGCGGAUAUUGGACAACAUUCCUCUCUCAAGCAUCCCGGGAGCUUCUCGGCCCGGAAUAUAUUGCCAUGGGCAACGGGUACCUGUGUUUCAUGAUAGCCUUGGGCUGCCUUACCGGAGGACCAGCGGCAGGUUUGCUGAUUCAGCUAGAAAUGGAAUACAAGUACGCCUUCUACCUAGCAGGGGCGUGUCUGCUGUGGAGCUCUGUCAUCAUGGUGCUGUUCAAGAUCAAGCGUUGUGUGGUGGCCAACAAGCCCCUCACUGACCACAAGGUGCCCCUCAUGGAGGGCGAGGAGGACUACAAGGACACAGAGAAGACUCCGCCGGCGGCAGAUGACAUCGUUGUACAUGCUGUGGUAACCUCGGUAUGAGUUAACAUCAACAACAUUACCAAAUAGACUGUUCCGUUUGGAAAAAGGCUCCGAGUUAGAGACCGAAUGGAAGGUGCCAAGUUUCUUUUGGUGAUUGUGCCACGUGUGGAGACUCCUGGCUGUGCUGGCUGCAGCGGACUCUGUGUGGAGCUGCCGUCGACACUGCAUGUAUAUGUGGCACAAUCCAGAUUAUUUCUCAAGCCGUUUCAAUGGCGACAUUUUACAUCUUUGUUCCUAGCCUACUCCACGCUGGAUGGAGAAUACACGUUUUUUCUUUACGCCGUGUUGAAUACAUGACGUAAAUCACUAUGCAAGCCGGUCUCUGGCCCCCUUGGCAGAUGGGAUUCGGCCAAUGUAGAUAUGUGUGAGUGGAUUUGGAACGAGGUUCAGUAGGUGCCAUUUGUGUGGGUGUGACUGUCCAUCUGCCUAGUUCAUUGUCAGCUACGUGUCAAGAAAUACAACUGGACCAAUUAUUAUUAUUAUUUUGUUUAACAUAUUUACUUAAUCUCUAAAUGGGGCCGAGAUGAAACGUGAUUGUUGUUGUCUCUUUUUUAAAAUGACAAGGGCAGUCCUGGGCCAACCACCAUUGAUAUUACUUUGAAUGCUUUCAGUAAAACUAUGUAUGUUAUGUUGCCUUCAAUGAAGCAAGCACUGGUUUGAAAUACAUACACAUUGAGACACGAUUUCCUAAUAUUCUGUUCAAUUCGGCAAAGUUAAAACAAGAAACACGUUGGUCUGGCGUUUAUGAGGUAUGUUGGAAAGUGUGAAACUACAACCGGAGAUUAUUAACGAUUUACCAAUGGCAUUGUUCCUACAGUAUUCUGGUUCAUAUGGAUAUUUCUGUUGGAAUCCAUUGUUGAUUAUGACUUAUGAGGACACAUGUCUGUUGCUGUCUAUAGUUGAUUAAGACUUGUGUGAACAAAUGUCUGUAGCAGUCUGUUGUUGAUUUGUGUGGACAAAGUCAACACCGUUACCAGUCUGAUGUUUUACACGACAGCAUCUGCGUCGAGAAGACCCCUUGUCAUUCCUGAAUACCUGCCCUGCAUCUGUUCAGUCUUGGUCAACCACUAUAUGCCUUUGUUAUUUUUAGAUAUACUGUCUGCUCCACAACUAAUCUAUAACAAUGAUGAACUUUCAUAAACCCUUGUCAAUAUUCCCCCAAGUUUGGGUGAACGCUGAUGGAUCUAAUGUAUACAUUCAUUUAAGAACGGGACUCUUAUUGUCAAUUUGGUUAUCAAAGGGAGGUAAUCAGUCCGUUUUUGUCAGGUACGUACGAUCAGACAUCAGACACUAUGCACAAACAAUGCAGGAUAGCUGCGAGUUAUCCACUUAUUUAUUAUGAUACGUCAAUAGUUCAUGUAAAUACAAUAUACGAUAUUAUAGACAAGCAGUUUUGUUUAUACUUUAGAUAGUGGCAUAUUUUUCAUCUACUGUCUCGUCAAGUGUUGCAUUCUCAAAGACAUUUUUCAAGAAAUAGUGGAACUUACAUCGACCGCGGCCUUAACUAGAGCAUACGUUCAUGUAUAAAGAGGGCGUACUUUUCAGUCACAAAAUGCGAUAUUGCAGCAACAGAAAGAUAAUAAUAGUGAGUUUACGUAUGUCAACAAUGUUACUUAGGAUGACAUGUUUGAAGUGUGCCCUGUUGAUAAGUACCCGGAUGUAGUAAGUGUUUGAACAUGUAAAAGUAAAAUGUGUUGCCAGCAGUGCACCAAUGGUACAACGGCGCCAUAGGUUCCAAUAAUGUCUCCCCACCGCCAUAGUGUAAUCCUCGGGACAGACUCGGAUCCUUCCAAGCUGCUGUUUAUAACGAGGCAGUCUGUGAGUGACAAUCAAAGAAGUCUAUCUUCAACAAACAGGUCGCAUGGACAUAGUUGUAAAGUGGGUCUUGAGGUACAUCCCUUGCUGUUGCUUUCCACGCUCCCAACACCCACUGAAUCUACUAACUGCGUACGGUCUCAAAGAACCGUAUGUCCCAGUUUCAAAGUAGGGCCAGAUAGUGCGGGACUGGUCAAGCAUCAAGAGUAUCCCGUCAGCACAAUUCCUCAGGUCGCCGAUAUACAUCUUGACUAGUUACAGGUCGCCACUAUACAUCUUGACUAGUUACAGGUCGCCGAUAUACGGCUUGACCAUGUACAGGUUGCCGAGAUGUUGAUUGUCCAUUUUCAGCCCGCCUAGGUAUAGCUCGACUUACUACACGUUACUGAGGUACAGACUGACUGUGUACAGCUUGUCGACAUAGUUUCACAUAUAAGAGGUUGCUGACAGGGAGCUCGACCACGAGGGGUCGAUGAAAAAUAUAGCAUGGCAGUGUGCGGUUGGCAAGAAAUAGCUCGACUACGUACAUUCUGCUAACAUAUUGCAUGGUUAUGUUCAGGUUGCCGAGGUACAGGUUGACUGUACACAUAUUGCCAGGAUAUAGCUCCGCCAUAUAUGGAUCGCCGACGUAUUGGUUAAUACUGUCUGCAGACACUGGAAGCAGAUUCCGACAUAGAGUACAGCUGGCUGUGCACACCGUAUGCUCACCAUCUCCUGUCCCCAUCGUUCACAGUAUACCAAAUGUUGUCUAUAUAUUAAUAAGACUCAAGUGUGAAGUACUUAUACCAUGUAGUAUUUUGUUGUGUUAUCAGUCCAUACAAUUCCUGCGUCUGGUCCAGCCGGCUGUAGUUAGUCAUGUUCUGAUGUUCUGAUGGUGGAAGAUCUGAACACAGUCGAUGGAGGCCUUUGAGGUCACGAGUUCAGUAGGGUAGAUGAGGUAAGCCCAGAAACUGUUGCUGUGUAGAUACUACAAUGGAACUGGACGCGAGGAAUUUACAAUGGAAACAAUUUAUACUUGGGUAAUGUAACGGAUCGGUUUGGUAUGUACGUCACUCUUAAAGAAUGGUGUCUUCCUUCUUGCACGAAUUCUCAUUGUCACGCACGAGACACGUCGCGCGGGUAACGAUGUCCAUGUAGAUGUAGGUCUUGUGACCCGGGCCACUCCGAGGUGACGGCCGCUGCUGGUAUGCUGUAGUUAGGUGACUGAGAUUCCGCUGUACAUAGAGUGGUGGUGACGUGUAUGAGUGUCAAGGGAUAUACGUGACUGUAUAUAGUUUCUUCAUGUUUGAGAUUAUCUGUCAUUUGGGACAUUAAUAAAACAAGUUGGUAUUUGUCAA
rnacentral:misc_RNA from 1 species